CCGGACCCCCUUUUUUUUUUUUUUUUCUCGACGGCCUUUUAAGUGACUAUUCGUUGCUGCUUUUAUGAUUCAUUGCUGGUUUAAUCCUCGAAGGCAUGGACGGCCCACCGUCCGCCGCGCGGCGGAAAGGACCUUGAUGUCGCUGCGCGCUGCGCUAUUCAACUCGCCCCGAUUGGCCCACAAAAGACGUCUGUUGACUGAAAACCAUUUACCCGGAUUCCAGAGUCUGCAGCAGCAGGGGGCAGUCGAGAAGCCCCUCUGUGACCAACAGCACAUAUGGCACGUCGUCCUCCAGGAGCCUCCAGGCUUUCGGCUUAUCUUUUGGAAACAAUCGCACAAGGUUUAGGACACGGAGGUCACGCGUUACCGCACAACAAGCGCGAAUAAUACGCGCAUGGCGGCUGGCUGACCAGGCUCGGCGAUGACGGUGUGGAAGACGAGGUGACCGAUGCUCCUCUCUCUGCAGACCGCGGCCCACGGCGACUGACCCGGGUGGUCGUACUCCACCACCACGGAGAAGCUGCUCCAGGGGAAGUCGGGCCCGACGUGCUGCUCGUACACCACCACGCACACACUGUCGCACGCGCUGCCGGGGCGGGACGGCGGGGGGGAAAGAACAACACUCUCACCAAAAGGAUUUAUUGAUUUAUCUGUUAUGUGCUGAAAUAUGCGGGCGAAUGAUGCAGCAAAUACAUAAAUACUGAUGGUUUCUACCUGCUAACCACACUGGCGCCAUUCAGUUUUCUCUUGUUCUCCUCAGGACGAACGGCUGUUACAGCAGCACCUGAAAC